GCUUUCUGCUAUAGCGGCAGAAGCAGAUGAAGACAUCGCAGAAGGAAGGUAAGAGGAGAGGUCUGUUGCUGCUGCUGUGAGUUUCUUGGUUUGGUGGGGGUAGGACUUUUAAAGAAACAAAAGGAGAACAUGGACUGGACGAAUGUGUUACCGAUUUAACCAGCAUCUGACUCGGGGUGUGGCUGGCCACAGGAAACUGGCCAAGUAAGAACUAAGGGGAAAGAGGGGCUGUCAAAGCCAGAGUCCUUGGUAGAGGAUACUUGGAGGACCAGGACAGAGGACACAACCAAGAGUGAGAGGACAGAUUCUUCACUGGCUUUGAGACCCCAGAAAUCCACCAACAGCUCUAACCCUCCAGAACAUGAGCGCUUAUGGUCUCUGCCGGACCUGUUGGCUCGGACAUCCCGCACCCAAGAGUCUGUGAGCUGCAGUCUUUGACACAGAGAAGAAGAGGACCAAGUCUUGGGUCAUCUUUUGCUGUCCCUCUGUGACAGUGACAAAGCAGUCCCCACAGGGCAGGGUCUGUUGCCUUUAUUUACAUGUCUGUGUUAGAGAAAGAUAUCUCCCUGUCUUUGGGACUUUUUUUGUGUGUAUUUUUCUCAAAUGGGAAAUAACAUUGUAUAUUUAAGGAAAUUCUGAAGUAGCAAUAAUGCAUCCAUAAGAAAAUUGACAAAUACCCAAAAGAAACAAUAAAACCCAUAUAUGAUACUGCCAGAGGAAACUAC
rnacentral:lncRNA from 1 species